CUAAGAAUAUUCCGCAAUGGACGGAAGUCUGGCGGAGCGACGCCGCGUGGAUGAAGAAGGCCGAAAGGUUGUAAAGUUCUUUUGCUGGGGAAGAAUAACCGCAGGAGGGAAUGCCUGUGGGAUGACAAGAACCGGCGAAUAAGCCCCGGCCAACUACGUGCCAGCAGCCGCGGUAACACGUAGGGGGCGAGCGUUGUUCGGAAUUACUGGGCGUAAAGGGCAUGUAGGCGGCUUGGAAAGCCUGGCGUGAAAGUCUGCAGCUUAACUGCAGGGGUGCGCUGGGAACUGCUGAGCUUGAGUGACGGAGAGGGAGCUGGAAUUCCUGGUGUAGGGGUGAAAUCUGUAGAUAUCAGGAAGAACACCGAUGGCGAAGGCAAGCUCCUGGCCGAUGACUGACGCUGAGGUGCGAAAGUGUGGGGAUCAAACAGGAUUAGAUACCCUGGUAGUCCACACAGUCAACGAUGUGCACUAGGUGCUGGGGCGGUAGCUUCGGUGCCGGAGCGAACGUGGUAAGUGCACCGCCUGGGGAGUAUGCUCGCAAGGGUGAAACUCAAUGAAUUGACGGGGGUCAUGA
rnacentral:rRNA from 1 species